rnacentral:snRNA from 1 species
AAGCUGAAGAGAAUUGCUGGC